AUGGAAAAAGCAAGAGAGUUCCAGAAAUACACCUACUUCUGCUUUAUUGACUAUGCCAAAGCCUUUGACUGUGUGGAUCACAAUAAACUGUGGAAAAUUCUGAAAGAGAUGGGAAUACCAGACCACCUAUCCUGCCUCUUGAGAAAUCUGUAUGCAGGUCAGGAAGCAACAGUUAGAAUUGGACAUGGAACAACAGACUGGUUCCAAAUAGGAAAAGGAGUACAUCAAGGCUGUAUAUUGUCACCCUGCUUAUUUAACUUAUAUGCAGAGUACAUCAUGAGAAACGCUGGACUGGAAGAAACACAAGCUGGAAUCAAGAUUGCUGGGAGAAAUAUCAAUAACCUCAGACAUGCAGAUGACACCACCCUUAUGGCAGAAAGUGAAGAGGAACUAAAAAGCCUCUUGAUGAAAGUGAAAGAGGAGAGUAAAAAAGUUGGCUUAAAGCUCAACAUUCAGAAAAUGAAGAUCAUGGCAUCUGGUCCCAUCACUUCAUGGCAAAUAGAUGGGGAAACAGUAGAAACAGUGUCAGACUUUAUUUUGGGGGGCUCCAAAAUCACUGCAGAUGGUGACUGUAGCCAUGAAAUUAAAAGACGCUUACUCCUUGGAAGAAAAGUUAUGACCAACCUAGAUAGUAUAUUCAAAAGCAGAGACAUUACUUUGCCGACUAAGGUCCAUCUAGUCAAGGCUAUGAUUUUUCCAGUGGUCAUGUAUGGAUGUGAAAGUUGGACUGUGAAGAAGGCUGAGCACCAAAGAAUUGAUGCUUUUGAACUGUGGUGUUGGAGAAGACUCUUGAGAGUCCCUUGGACUGCAAGGAGGUCCAACCAGUCCAUUCUGAAGGAGAUCAGCCCUGGGAUUUCUUUGGAAGAAAUGAUGCUAAAGCUGAAACUCCAGUACUUUGGCCACCUCAUGCAAAGAGUUGACUCAUUGGAAAAGACUCUGACAAUGGGAGAGAUUGGGGGCAGGAUGAGAAGAGGACGACAGAGGAUGAGAUGGCUGGAUGGCAUCACGGACUCGAUGGAUGUGAGUCUGAGUGAACUCCGGGAGAUGGUGAUGGACAGGGAGGCCUGGCAUGCUGCGAUUCAUGGGGUCGCGGAGUUGGACAUGACUGAGCAACUGAACUGA
rnacentral:lncRNA from 1 species